ensembl:miRNA mdo-mir-153-1 mdo-mir-153-1
CUCACAGCUGCCAGUGUCAUUUUUGUGAUCUGCAGCUAGUAUUCUGGCUUCAGUUGCAUAGUCACAAAAGUGAUCAUUGGCAGGUGUGGC